rnacentral:rRNA from 1 species
GUUUGAUCCUGGCUCAGAAUCAACGCUGGCGGCGUGCCUAACACAUGCAAGUCGAACGCGAAAGGGACUUCGGUCCUGAGUAGAGUGGCGAACGGGUGAGUAACGCGUGGGUGACCUACCCUCGAGUGGGGGAUAACGUUCCGAAAGGGACGCUAAUACCGCAUGACAUUCCGGGUUCGAAGACCUGGAAAUCAAAGCCGGGGACCGCAAGGCCUGGCGCUUGAGGAGGGGCCCGCGUCUGAUUAGCUAGUUGGCGGGGUAAUGGCCCACCAAGGCGACGAUCAGUAGCCGGCCUGAGAGGGCGGACGGCCACACUGGGACUGAGACACGGCCCAGACUCCUACGGGAGGCAGCAGUGGGGAAUUGUUCGCAAUGGGCGCAAGCCUGACGACGCAACGCCGCGUGGAGGAUGAAGGUCUUCGGAUUGUAAACUCCUGUUGAUCGGGACGAAAAGCUUCGACCUAACACGUCGAGGACUGACGGUACCGGUUGAGGAAGCCACGGCUAACUCUGUGCCAGCAGCCGCGGUAAUACAGAGGUGGCAAGCGUUGUUCGGAAUUACUGGGCGUAAAGGGCGCGUAGGCGGCCUUCUAAGUCGGACGUGAAAGCCCCAGGCUUAACCUGGGAACUGCGUCCGAUACUGGGAGGCUUGGAUUCGGGAGAGGGAUGUGGAAUUCCAGGUGUAGCGGUGAAAUGCGUAGAUAUCUGGAGGAACACCGGUGGCGAAGGCGGCAUCCUGGACCGAGAUCGACGCUGAGGCGCGAAAGCUAGGGGAGCAAACGGGAUUAGAUACCCCGGUAGUCCUAGCCCUAAACGAUGAGUGCUUGGUGUGGCGGGUAUCGAUCCCUGCCGUGCCGAAGCUAACGCAU